rnacentral:rRNA from 1 species
AGAGUUUGAUCAUGGCUCAGAUUGAACGCUGGCGGCAGGCCUAACACAUGCAAGUCGAGCGGUAGCACAGAGAGCUUGCUCUCGGGUGACGAGCGGCGGACGGGUGAGUAAUGUCUGGGAAACUGCCUGAUGGAGGGGGAUAACUACUGGAAACGGUAGCUAAUACCGCAUAACGUCGUAAGACCAAAGUGGGGGACCUUCGGGCCUCAUGCCAUCAGAUGUGCCCAGAUGGGAUUAGCUAGUAGGUGGGGUAACGGCUCACCUAGGCGACGAUCCCUAGCUGGUCUGAGAGGAUGACCAGCCACACUGGAACUGAGACACGGUCCAGACUCCUACGGGAGGCAGCAGUGGGGAAUAUUGCACAAUGGGCGCAAGCCUGAUGCAGCCAUGCCGCGUGUGUGAAGAAGGCCUUCGGGUUGUAAAGCACUUUCAGCGGGGAGGAAGGCGAUAAGGUUAAUAACCUCAUCGAUUGACGUUACCCGCAGAAGAAGCACCGGCUAACUCCGUGCCAGCAGCCGCGGUAAUACGGAGGGUGCAAGCGUUAAUCGGAAUUACUGGGCGUAAAGCGCACGCAGGCGGUCUGUCAAGUCGGAUGUGAAAUCCCCGGGCUCAACCUGGGAACUGCAUUCGAAACUGGCAGGCUAGAGUCUUGUAGAGGGGGGUAGAAUUCCAGGUGUAGCGGUGAAAUGCGUAGAGAUCUGGAGGAAUACCGGUGGCGAAGGCGGCCCCCUGGACAAAGACUGACGCUCAGGUGCGAAAGCGUGGGGAGCAAACAGGAUUAGAUACCCUGGUAGUCCACGCCGUAAACGAUGUCGAUUUGGAGGUUGUGCCCUUGAGGCGUGGCUUCCGGAGCUAACGCGUUAAAUCGACCGCCUGGGGAGUACGGCCGCAAGGUUAAAACUCAAAUGAAUUGACGGGGGCCCGCACAAGCGGUGGAGCAUGUGGUUUAAUUCGAUGCAACGCGAAGAACCUUACCUGGUCUUGACAUCCACAGAACUUUCCAGAGAUGGAUUGGUGCCUUCGGGAACUGUGAGACAGGUGCUGCAUGGCUGUCGUCAGCUCGUGUUGUGAAAUGUUGGGUUAAGUCCCGCAACGAGCGCAACCCUUAUCCUUUGUUGCCAGCGGUUAGGCCGGGAACUCAAAGGAGACUGCCAGUGAUAAACUGGAGGAAGGUGGGGAUGACGUCAAGUCAUCAUGGCCCUUACGACCAGGGCUACACACGUGCUACAAUGGCAUAUACAAAGAGAAGCGACCUCGCGAGAGCAAGCGGACCUCAUAAAGUAUGUCGUAGUCCGGAUUGGAGUCUGCAACUCGACUCCAUGAAGUCGGAAUCGCUAGUAAUCGUAGAUCAGAAUGCUACGGUGAAUACGUUCCCGGGCCUUGUACACACCGCCCGUCACACCAUGGGAGUGGGUUGCAAAAGAAGUAGGUAGCUUAACCUUCGGGAGGGCGCUUACCACUUUGUGAUUCAUGACUGGGGUGAAGUCGUAACAAGGUAACCGUAGGGGAACCUGCGGUUGGAUCACCU